UGAUGGAUGAUUCUCUCUCAUCAUUGAUGUUUCUGUCUCCCCCUUUCUCUUCCGCUCUGAAAAUCAAUAAAAACAUAUUUUAAAAAUUAAAGAAGGUCCUAAAAUUUGUGAGUACCAAGUACUUGUCAGAUCCCGUGUGCUUGCUGUGCUGAGUCUGUUGCAUGUGGGGACAGGAUUGGCUGUGAGACGCAGGUGUGGUCAGGGCUGUGCCCAGUGCUUCCUGGCUUUGACCUGGUCACUCUUUGGCUGGGACACCUCUCUGCUCCUUUGUCCUUUUCUUUCCAGUAGAACCUUGUCAGACCAGGACCUGCCAUCACAGGGACUCAAACAUCACCAGUCCUUGUAAAUCGUCCUAAUAAAGAACAUCUCCAGGACCAUGGGCAGCGAGGGCUUCGCUUGUUCAUCAGAUUGGCAGUUGGACAGACAAUUCUGGGGAUCAGGAGAGAUGUCAGAAGGAGAAACAGACAAAAGGAGGUCUAGAAGGCACAGGCACCAUGGAGCCCCCAGCGUUCCUGUGCACAGGAACCACCUGGACCUCUUGUUGGCUCAGGAUGUCAGGAGCAGAGUGUGAGAGGCUGGCUCUAUCCCAAGGUGCUGAUGCUGCUGGUCUUCAGAUCACACAGUGAGCAGCGAGAACCCAGACCAGGAUCCCCAUGUCUGUGUGUCAGCCUCGCCUGCAGGUGUUACACAGGUGGUUCCUGUCUGUGCCUAAUUCUCUGGGUCUGUGGGUCUGGGAGAGGCUGGGGGUUUUGUAAGAAGCUCACAAGGAAUCCUGGGCUCAGCCAGCCUGGGAACCACUGAGGCCAGUGCCAGAGCUCAGGAUGGGGAGGGGUUUUACGUCCACAUUUAAAGGUUUCAUUUUUCCUCAGAAAGAAAAAGGAGGGCAUUUAUCACCAGUUAUGAAACAUGAUGGGAGUUACGUGUCGUUCUCUCUGCCAUGGGGUAGAGUCAGGUGGAAGAGCUAGGACAUGGGCCCUGGGUCCCAAUAACAUCUCUGAAGGCUUGCUCUCUGAAACUGUUCCCCAGAUAUAGUUCUUGGAGCAAACAAUGGAAUCCCUAUCUAUUCUAAUUUAGACAUAAAGUAGCAUAUAUAUAUAUAUAUAUAUAUAUAUGAUAUUGGGGUCUAAUAGUAUUUUAGGGAAAACCACAGGCUUGAAGUCACACAGCCAGAAACUGAUCCACAUUCAGCCCAGGUCAGGCCCCACACAAGAGCCACUGCCCUGCUGCUGGACACGGAUGCCACUGCUCACACCACUGACCCCUGAAGCUGGACCCUGGGCCCUGUGCUAGGACUGCCACCACUGCUGCUCCUGGCACCUGACACUGUUACUGCCUCUCCUGGCACCCUUACCAAACGCAGCCUGCACAGUCCCAGCCUCUGCAUCACCACGUCCCGAGUCAGGGCUUGCUCAUGGAGUCCCUGAACAAUGUGAAACUGGGAUGGAGCCUGCAUGGGCUCAGCAACGCAGCCUCCACUCACCCAGGCUGAGCUGUGGCUGCACUGCUGAUUGCACAGCCUGCUGAGAGCAGCUUGUUCCCUGAAAAGAGAAAUAAAAUAAGUGAAAUUAAUUAUGAACAAAACAGAGUUGUCUUAGAUAAAUAUGUCACUGCAGAUAUAGGAGAGAGGUAACCAAUCUUAAAACUAUAAAAAAAUUUGUUAAUGGAAGAGACUGCAAAGAAAAAAGUGAAAGCGGUUGUAAAAUAUUUACCUCCCUUCAACCAUAUCCAUAUCCAUUCUUUAGGUAACUAAAAGCAAAAAGAGGGAUGCACAUUGGCCUUGGGCAAUUUUUUUUCUCCAGUAUCUUCUACAGGAAAGUUCUACUAAACCUUCAAGAAACACUCCUGAUCUUCUAUGAAAUAUUUAGAAGAAUGAAGAAAUAUAGGGAAAGCCAAACAACUCAAUUAUUAGGCAUGAAUAACCUUGAUCCCAGCUCCAAUUAGGGAAGAAAUAAGGAAGAUAAUAUGAAAAUCAUAUUUAAGAAAGGGCAUGUGAAAAUCCUGAGAAAAUAUAGUAGACUAUCAAUGUAGUGAGAAGCAAUUAAGUAUCUUGACCAAGUUAGGCAGCCCAGGAAUGCAACAAAAAUCAAAUUGUAAAUCUCUUAACGAAAUCCAGGGAAGAUGCUGUAGAAACUACUCCAGAUGAAAUCAAUGCUCCAUCUGACCCACCUUUAUUUUUUUUAAAAUAUAUUUUAUUGAUUUUUUUA